GACGAACGCUGGCGGCGUGCUUAACACAUGCAAGUCGAACGGAAAGGCCCUGCUUUUGUGGGGUGCUCGAGUGGCGAACGGGUGAGUAACACGUGAGUAACCUGCCCUUGACUUUGGGAUAACUUCAGGAAACUGGGGCUAAUACCGGAUAGUAGCUCCUGCUGCAUGGUGGGGGUUGGAAAGUUUCGGCGGUUGGGUAUGGACUCGCGGCUUAUCAGCUUGUUGGUGGGGUAGUGGCUUACCAAGGCUUUGACGGGUAGCCGGCCUGAGAGGGUGACCGGCCACAUUGGGACUGAGAUACGGCCCAGACUCCUACGGGAGGCAGCAGUGGGGAAUAUUGCACAAUGGGCGGAAGCCUGAUGCAGCAACGCCGCGUGCGGGAUGACGGCCUUCGGGUUGUAAACCGCUUUCGCCUGUGACGAAGCGUGAGUGACGGUAAUGGGUAAAGAAGCACCGGCUAACUACGUG
rnacentral:rRNA from 1 species